GACGAACCUUGCUAACGUUAUUCGGAAUUACUGGGCUUAAAGAGUGUGUAGGCGGUGCUCUAAGUUCGGUGUGAAAUCUCCUGGCUCAACUGGGAGGGUGCGCCGGAAACUGGAGUGCUUGAGCGUGGGAGAGGAAAGCGGAAUUCCUGGUGUAGCGGUGAAAUGCGUAGAUAUCAGGAGGAACACCUGUGGUGUAGACGGCUUUCUGGACCAUAGCUGACGCUGAGACACGAAAGCGUGGGUAGCAAACAGG
rnacentral:rRNA from 1 species